rnacentral:rRNA from 1 species
GAUGAACGCUGGCGGCGUGCCUAAUACAUGCAAGUCGAGCGAACAGACGAGGAGCUUGCUCCUCUGACGUUAGCGGCGGACGGGUGAGUAACACGUGGAGAACCUACCUAUAAGACUGGGAUAACUUCGGGAAACCGGAGCUAAUACCGGAUAAUAUAUUGAACCGCAUGGUUCAAUAGUGAAAGACGGUUUUGCUGUCACUUAUAGAUGGAUCCGCGCCGCAUUAGCUAGUUGGUAAGGUAACGGCUUACCAAGGCAACGAUGCGUAGCCGACCUGAGAGAGUGAUCGGCCACACUGGAACUGAGACACGGUCCAGACUCCUACGGGAGGCAGCAGUAGGGAAUCUUCCGCAAUGGGCGAAAGCUUGACGGAGCAACGCCGCGUGAGUGAUGAAGGUCUUCGGAUCGUAAAACUCUGUUAUUAGGGAAGAACAAAUGUGUAAGUAACUAUGCACGUCUUGACGGUACCUAAUCAGAAAGCCACGGCUAACUACGUG